GAGGGCGAGCUUAACAGAGCCGGAUUGAAGUUCGGCCCAGCGAAGAGUGCACACAUUUACUGAAAAGUCCAAUCCUUCGGAGUAGAAACGAGCUGCUUUAGGCACGUCCUUAUGUAACUGCAAUAUCCACCUAAAAGAAACAGCUGCCAUCUUUCUCCCUCUCUAUAUGUCCUUCAAUAGCUGAUUACCCUUUGGUUCUCCUCGGUUUUGGGCUGGUGGCGGAGAAGUGACGAGGAGUUUUGAGAGAGAAGGAAUCGGCAAGGGCAGACCUAAAGGAAGGAAUAGAA
rnacentral:misc_RNA from 1 species